UACGUAGGGGGCAAGCGUUGUCCGGAUUUAUUGGGCGUAAAGAGCGUGUAGGCGGCUAGGUAGGUCCGUUGUGAAAACUCGAGGCUCAACCUCGAGACGUCGAUGGAAACCAUCUAGCUAGAGUCCGGAAGAGGGGAGUGGAAUUCCUGGUGUAGCGGUGAAAUGCGCAGAUAUCAGGAAGAACACCCGUGGCGAAGGCGGCUCUCUGGUACGUGACUGACGCUGAGACGCGAAAGCGUGGGGAGCGAACAGG
rnacentral:rRNA from 1 species